GUCUUGGAGAGUCGCCUUUAGGAGCGCUCGAAAAGGCCACGGGCCCUAGGAUUUGUUUGACGGAAAGCUCAAAGAAGAGUGGAGCUAAGAAGGGCUUCCCAGGCUCUGGGGGAAAGCCGAAGACGCGAGAUCCUAGGCUCAGUCGAUCCUGCCUCUUCCCUUGGGCGCAUUGUGACCUAAGGGGAUUCAGUGCCCUUUCUGAGCCUCAGUUUUCCCCUCUAAAAUGGGGCUGGCUAAUGUUCCCAAGCCCAAGAAAGAGAAAAGCCCUAACACCAGGGGCUGGGGAGUCCAGUCCGAAGCCUUCUUCAGCCUCCUAGGCCUGCCCCGCUUCCAAAUAACCCCUAGCGGGGUAGCGUCACUGUCUCCAUGGAGACAGGGGCCCGCCCCCGCCUUAAUCCCUCUCCACCUCUGCAUAAUGGGGAAAAUAGCACUGCAUGAUGACAAAUUCCGGAGACCAAAAUAGGGUCCAACGCAUCCUGAGACCUCGAGCUGGUAACGUACAGGGAAGGUGAACAGUGAGUCAGCCCUUCCUUCCGCUAAGUCAACAUAGUGGCCUUAUUCCCAUCACUCCAGGCUGGGAAAGGACAAACAUACAAGAAAUGCUUUUAAUCACGGAAUAAGACUAAGCCUCAAGCCCCCUCAUCUGCCAAAGAGUGUGCUCUGCUGUCAAACCUCAAAGUCAUUGAGAAACAAACCCUGAUAAUCUCACCCAGCUUCAAGACCAAGGGAGUCCUAGUGUCAUGGAGAAGAGCAAGGAGGGGCCCAGGGCUGCCGAAGAUAGAUGUCUACCAACUAGGAAGAGAGCCCUCACCAGGAACCAAAUCUGCUGACACCUGGAUCUUGAACUUCCCAGCCAACAGAAUUGUGAGGAAUAAAUGUAUGUAUUUUAA
rnacentral:lncRNA from 10 species